rnacentral:tRNA from 1 species
AGGAUUAUAAUUUAACACAAAAUUUUUAAAUUGCAAUUAAAUCAUGUUACUAACUUUAACUAAUCUUA